ACUUUUCCUUGACCACCAAGUAUUGCACAAAAUUCAAGUUGGUCUACGUCACAGAGGAGAAAGUGAAAGGGCAAGAGGAACAGAACUCCACCCUUUGGUUAUCAAGGAAGUGCUCCUUGAAGAACAAAACAAAGCAGAGCGGAAUUCUACCCUUGGAGGCUGAAGGACAAGAGAAUGUGCAAAAGAAGGAAGGGGAGAAGGGCCACGGAACAUCUGGAAUGAAAAGUAAGAGGCACGCGGUGUUUCUUGGGCAUCGAGGAACGAUGAUGUCAGCAGUCAUCCAGUAAGGGUCGGAGGAAGGAGAGGUGACUAGAGAUCACUGACGACUGCCUGCUGAGGGGCCAUGACGUAGCCCCACGUCAGUCUGGCACAAACAGCCUCAAGUUCUGCUGUCUUCUUGGGGAACUGAUCUGGGAAGUGACAGCUAACUUCUGAGACUUGCCAAGCCUGAUGACCAACUAUCCACUUCUGGCGAUUCACGUGGGGACAAAGGAUAACACCGGAAAGGUUGUGAAGUCCUGGGCAAAAAAAUGAGGAUUUUUACAGGACUGAGGAAAACAGAGCCUCGGUUUCCCUAAGUGACCAGCUCACGGCCAAACAGCUAGGGAGUGGCAGAGAUGAAGAAAGUGAGACAGAGAGAGGUUAGUGAGUAGCCCAGCUCCGAAGCCCUGUCUCCAGCUGAGGCAUCCACUGCACCUCCUGGCUAGUCUUUUACAAACGCUGAGAAGUGAACAGAAGGCCGGCCGGGAAGGAGCACAGACAAGCAGGACAGCUUUGAAAGUGACAAGCCGACCUUGCUGCAUCCUUAGAAAAGAAAAGACAGCCGCACAAGGCGCAGCUCUGCAAUGUCAAGCACAA